rnacentral:rRNA from 1 species
UAAGGAAUAUUGGUCAAUGGGCGGAAGCCUGAACCAGCCAUGCCGCGUGCAGGAUGACUGCCCUAUGGGUUGUAAACUGCUUUUGUCCAGGAAUAACCCCAGAUACGUGUAUCUGGCUGAAUGUACUGGAAGAAUAAGGAUCGGCUAACUCCGUGCCAGCAGCCGCGGUAAUACGGAGGAUCCGAGCGUUAUCCGGAUUUAUUGGGUUUAAAGGGUGCGUAGGCGGCCUAUUAAGUCAGGGGUGAAAUACGGUGGCUCAACCAUCGCAGUGCCUUUGAUACUGACGGGCUUGAAUCCAUUUGAAGUGGGCGGAAUAAGACAAGUAGCGGUGAAAUGCAUAGAUAUGUCUUAGAACUCCGAUUGCGAAGGCAGCUCACUAAGCUGGUAUUGACGCUGAUGCACGAAAGCGUGGGGAUCGAACA